rnacentral:rRNA from 1 species
AGAGACAGCAGUAGCCGCGGUAAUACGUAGGUCCCGAGCGUUGUCCGGAUUUAUUGGGCGUAAAGCGAGCGCAGGCGGUUAGAUAAGUCUGAAGUUAAGGGCUGCGGCUUAACCAUAGUACGCUUUGGAAACUGUUUAACUUGAGUGCAAGAGGGGAGAGUGGAAUUCCAUGUGUAGCGGUGAAAUGCGUAGAUAUAUGGAGGAACACCGGUGGCGAAAGCGGCUCUCUGGCUUGUAACUGACGCUGAAGCUCGAAAGCGUGGGGAGCAAACAGGAUUAGAUACCCCGGUAGUCCCUGUCUCUUAUACA